AGCCACCCAGGUGCCCCAAAAUCUUUAAGAGUAUAAAUGGGAUCUUGAGACAAAAAGUUUGAAAACUGUUCAUUUAGUAAAAAAUUAACAUACAGAUUUCAGAGUCAUGACUCAUACAAUUUCUAGAUAUAUAAUUUUAGGAAAUUAUCUAACUACUGUUAGCUUUAUUCUUCUUACCUGCAAAAUAGGAAUAAUAUUUGUCUCACAGGGUAUUGGGGUAAGAUAAGGUUUAUGAAGUAUAUAUAGUACAGUACUGGGCACAUACAAUAGAUGCCCUGUAAAUCUAGCCUUUUGGUUGAUAAUUUGCAUACUUUAGCACUGCAGUGGUCUUAAUGUUACUGGAAUAUUUUUUAUUCAUUUGACAGGACAGAAUUCAGUUUAUUUACCAAGUUAGAACCACAGCAUCUGAUUUCAGAUUUAAAAACUACAUUGUGGAAAAUUGGCAGAAGGUUAUUUUAAGUUUUAGUAUCUUUUAUGUAACAAAUUAGCUUAAGCAGCAGGUUGAGGUCUUAGAAAACUGAAGGGAUAGUCGAUGAAGCUUAACUAGGACAUUUGAGCACUUAGUUUCAUGGCAUACUUGGCCAAUAAAGCAAAUCCAGUGUUGGCUAGAGAAGGAGUAUGAUGAAAAAAUGAUGAUGAUUUGCUUUUAAAAUAUUGAAGUCAAAGCAUGAUGUUUGUUAUCUUUAAUUAGAAUAUAUUAUUUCUGAUUAUGUACUUAAUCUAUAAAAUGAGAGGGAUUGGAUAGUUGAAUGCAAAGUCAUUUCUAGUUCAUAAAUCUUCUAAAAAUGUGAUUAAUUUAAACUUGUUACAGUAAUUUUAAUUUGUAAGCAUCAGUAGGUACUGAUGCUUUUGCCCUUUCACCUUUGUUUUCCUUGAAAGCUUAAGAAAAUGGAGUAAUAAUGUAGGUGCAUAAAGGCCUGCUUUCUUUACCUAGGUGCUCUGUCUAGACUCUGGUAAGUUCUCCUUAAUUUGUGUAGUUUUUUGAAUAGUUAUUACAUUCACAUGCUACAAAAUUAUAAAAAGAUGUAAAAGAUACACUGUAAAAAUAGUUUGCCUCCCACUCAUCUUAACCCACUCAGUUACCCUUCUUAACAGCAACUGGUGUUAUCAGUGCCUUGUUUUCUUCUUGUCACCAUUUAGAACAUGGUCUUUUUUUUUUUUCUCCUGGAAGAUAGAGAAGUGAAGAAA